GUGGGGAAUAUUGCACAAUGGGGGAAACCCUGAUGCAGCGACGCCGCGUGAGUGAAGAAGUAUUUCGGUACGUAAAGCUCUAUCAGCAAGGAAGAAAAUGACGGUACUUGACUAAGAAGCCCCGGCUAACUACGUGCCAGCAGCCGCGGUAAUACGUAGGGGGCAAGCGUUAUCCGGAUUUACUGGGUGUAAAGGGAGCGUAGACGGUAUGGUAAGUCAGAUGUGAAAGCCCGGGGCUCAACCCCGGGACUGCAUUUGAAACUAGCAGACUAGAGUGCAGGAGAGGUAAGUGGAAUUCCUAGUGUAGCGGUGAAAUGCGUAGAUAUUAGGAGGAACACCAGUGGCGAAGGCGGCUUACUGGACUGUAACUGACGUUGAGGCUCGAAAGCGUGGGGAGCAAACAGGAUUAGAAACCCGAGUAGUCC
rnacentral:rRNA from 1 species